rnacentral:lncRNA from 1 species
GCGCUUUCCCGGAGCGCCUGGCGGCCUGCGAGGCCGAGGUAAGGAGCCGAGAGCGGGGCCAUGUCUGCAGGGUAGGAAAGACUGGUGGGGCCUGUGGCCAGGCGAGAGGUGGCAGGAGAGCAGGCGAAGGCCACCGUCAGGCUCCCGUGACCGCGCCCGUCCCCUCGCAGGCUGGGGCGUACGGCAGGUGCGUGCAGGCUUCCACCGCCCCGGGCGGCCGCCUGAGCAAGGACCUUUGUGCACGGGCGGUCGAGGCCCUGCGGAGCUGCUUCGUCGCUGCGGUAGGUGGGGGCUGCCCCCUCCCCUGCCCUUCCCGAGAGUCGUCCCUCUCCUGCCUUUCCUUUCCCCCGGCUCAGGUUGUAAGGGCUGCCCUGACCCGGCAGACAGGCUAGUCUCUGCGUUUGUAAAUCGAGGAUCCCGCCAACCUCAAGAAGGCCCAGCAGUGAUGCAGCGGGAAGCGCUCCUGAACUUUGGUACUGUCGCCAAGGGCGGGACCCAGACUCUGGACUCAGCAAGGCCCACCGCGGCCCGUUUCUACCCUGCGUAACUGCCUAAUGGGGGCCCCGCACCUGCUGUAGCUCCUGACCUGCCGGACACGCCCUUUCAUAGAGGAGGAAAGGGAAUUCGUAGAUUCUACAAAGAAUCUACAAAGAAACGUAGCAGGUUCUCAUGGAAGCACCUUGGUCCCUGAUUCGUUCUACCUCUGACCCAUCCACCAUCCAGUCCUUUGUGUUUCUUAGUCAUGGUAUUGUCAAGGUCUUUGUCUGACGGGUUGCACCACCGAUGAAAACGGCAUACUGCUUGUGCAAAUGGCCACAUACUGUGAAGGAGGAAGACUUGCGUAAAGGCCCUCGAGAAAGUAGGGUUCUUGCAGGCUGGGGAGAUGGCCAUUAUGAAUGUUCCAGAACAGGACCAGCAAGGUGUCCCUGCCUAUGGGGCUUUAACCACAAGGGUCUCGGGCUGUCAUUCUGAAGCUGGUUCCCAGUGUCAGCAUCACUGGGCCCCACCUGGAGCACCCUGAUUCUGUGGGGUGCGUUUCCAGGGAGCUGCUAAUGAGAGCUGGACUGGGGAAGGGUAGUUGGACAAGAAGUAACAGAAGACUGUGACUGAAGCAGUUUCUUGGUGCUCUGGGAUUGUCCUAAGCAGAAUGGCAGAGUAUGUGGUACGUGUAUUUCUUUCAGUCUUGUACUCAUUUUCUGGAAGGCUGGGAGAACUCAUGCCUGCCUUGUGGUUGUUGUGGCCCAUCCUCCCACCCAGAGGUGGGUCCCUCAUCAGAAGCAGCACUAUUUUGGUCCUUCUGACUCGGUUUCUGACUUUCAGGAGCUUCCCAACUUGCCAGCUCUCUGUGAGGGGAAAGGUGGACAGGUCUUCACUCUGAGCAGCUCUCAGGAGAUCAGUGAUACGAUACACCUGGGUUCUCUUUACCACACACCCUUUCUGUGGCCAGGCACGAGUUAACUAUUAGGUAUCUGGCCAUCCGUGACCCCAACCCCCUUACACUCUUUUGCCUGGAUCAAAGACCUUCAGGAGCCACUACCCAGGGGUCAGGGGGACCAGUCUCCAUCAUUAGAUGGACUGAGCUCAGCUGGGACCCCCAAGACACCCUCUCGAUGAGGAGCCUCUCCUCCCCGUGACUCAGGGUGCUCCUGGGGUGCUACCUGAGGAGGUGGUCCGGGCUCUGUGCUUCAUCCCAUGAGCCCUGUCUGCUGGGCAGACACCUCCAGUCUCCUCUGAGAGAAGAGGCUCCAUUGCCCUUGGCAACAGCAUGGGACCCAGUGGGUCUCAGAGACACCCAGCCUUGGGGCCUCCUGAGCUCCAGGCAGCCUGGUCCCCUGCCACACACCAGCACUCAAGUUGUGUGUAAGGUGUUUGGUAGAACAUGGUAUUUAGUGUGGUAGAUUUCUUGUUUUUGAGCAAUACCUAACUUAGAAAUAAGCAAUUCAGACAGAAUGCUUUGUUUUUCAGGCCAAGAAGAGCCUGAAGGGAGGCUCCUAGGGAGGACCCUGGGCUCUGGCCCCUGCAUCUACCACUGCCGUGGGCACAGACCCCACAUGUGGAUGGUGCCCAGGACCGCUCUCCGGGCAGAAGGAAGUGGGAGCAGCCAAGUUCUCGGUGUCCCAGUGUGUUUUCCUCGUCAGGCUGGACCUUGGGCAAGACAGGAAUUUGUUUUCAGCUCUGCGUGCAGAAGGAUCUGAGUUAGAUUCAGAUGUAACCAAAUCAGCAAUAAAGACUAUUACAUCUUGCAUGGUUUUGUGUUUAUCGUACACUGGCUGUGUUGUGGGGACCUGGUCUCUCCCAGGAACAAGGGGUCCUAGCCACCCCCACCCCCAAAAAAGCUGGUGAGUCUGGGCUGUGA